rnacentral:lncRNA from 1 species
GUUCAUGUGGUAGCUUAGGCAGUGCAGCUCCGUGACAGAUCCAACGUCACAUGCAUCUCCCACCUUGAUGCACAAGAGGAAGGUUAGAGUGGAAGGAACGGCGAAGGCAGAGCCCAAGUGCCACUCUGCGAGGCUGUUGGCCCAGUCUGCCCCUGCCAAGGUGGAUGCGAAAUUGAAAAAGGCCGUGGGAAAGGAUAAAGCAUCAGACAAAAAAUCGCAGAUAAAAGGGAAGAGGGGAGCGAAGGGCAAACAGACUGAAGUGGCUGACCAGCAAACUCCCUGCAGAAAAUGGAGAGACGGAAAACCAGAGCCCAGCCUCUGAGGAAGAGAAAGAAGCAAAGUCUGACUAAGCAUCCAUCACGUCUGUCAGUGGUCCUUGCCUCAAUU